ACUUUGUCAAAUUUGGGUUUGUUUUAUUCAGGUUGAAGAAGGGAUUGCGCAACGAUGACAUGGUGCAGAGGCUCGCGCGGCAGCAUUGACUCGAAGUGAUUGACCCACGACAACACAACGGUCACGACCUUACUACUACAUGCUGGCUCCACUACGAGAGCAAGCCAUCUUUCUUCUACUGGUAAUCUGGUAUGUUAUUUACUGGAUAGAUUUUUUGAACUUUUCAGCCAAUGUUUAGCUUCAGAUAUGUGGAGCAUGUUGACUCUUAAUCAGAAGGAGGUUGUGUGUUUAUAAUGUUGCAUAAGAAGCAUUUUCUUAUCAUGCUUGGUUGUCAUAUUAAAUUUCUCUACAACAUUUGGGAGGUACAAUUAUAGAUUUCAAAGGUAUGGUGCCUAGAUUUUAAUUUUUUGCUUGGACAUGCCAGCUUUCCAUAUUUCUUAGUAUCAUUCCUAAUAGGGUAUAUAAUCUUUUUUUUUUGAAUUUUUUUGUCAUAUUAAUUGUUUCCCAUGCCCUUUAGAAGUCUGGCAGUUCCGUUCUCUUAAAUUUUUGUUUGUUUGUCCAUGGAAAGGUAGAGUUUCCCCUAAACUUCACAUGAUGAUGUUAGAUCAUAAUUGGUCAGUUAAGUAUAAUUCCAAUCCCUCUUAUUGCAAAAUUAAGUAUUAUGUUGCCUUUCGUUUAUUUUCAUCCUCAAAAGGGUGGAAACGCUUCUGAAGUUCACACACAAUUAAUCUUGUGCGGUCGCAAUUUCACAGUAUGGUUCAUUGUAUAUCUGACAAAUUAAUAUAUAAGGCGGUUAGAAGCAUUAGUGUCUCAUGCUUAGGGCUGCCAUAUUUAGAGCUCCAUUUCAGAUUACUCAUCUUUGCAUAGUUCUGUGUCUACAGUGUUGCAUAAGAAGCAUAUCCUUGUCAAGCUUUUGUUGUCACAUUAAUUUCUCUACAAAAUUUGGGAGGGUACAGUUACAGAUAUUUGCAUUAUCCAUGUUUAUAACUUGGCUAACAACUUAAUCUACAAAGUGGAAACACAGUUUUCAUAGAAAUGGGAAGGAAGGUAACAGGGAUGAAAAUCCAGGUAAAAACUUCAAAUACCAAAUCAAAGCCAUGGAGAUCACCAUAACCAAUGUUUUAGUAGGUAGAAUUAUAUUGGUUUCACAAUUGUCGGCUUAUCCUUUUUUAUUACACUAUGUGUUCUGUCACUAAGAUAGUUAUCUGCUCAGCACUGUCAACAUGUUUUCAGGCUACCUUAAUUCAAUGGUGGAGCCACUAGAAGUCUGAUUUAUCUCUAAUAUUUCAUCGAGUUCUCAUUGUAAUAUGAUAUCUAUAGUAAAGUUAUUGGUUUCUAUAAUCAGGUACAAACUAAACCUGUUAUCAUUAUACUAAUAUUCAUCCCUAUCCUUCUCUGCUCUAUCACAACACAAUCCAUGCAUGGACAUACACAUGAUUGUUGGACUUGGACUUGGUGAUGCGGCCGUCUGAUGCAAGAUCUACACAAACGUGUGGUGACUUGGUGAGACAUAUGACUCCCUAUGCAUCCUCGAUGAUUCUUGUGUUCAACAUGUUUGCCGUGCUUGGUUACAGUGGUUUUGCCAAUCUUCAUCCUUCUUGUGUAAGGUGCGCAGGGAUGGCAAAAAUCCUAUCACGUGAGCCUGACAGGAAAUAUGGUCUUUGCUAGGAUUGAGGCAUACACGAAGGUCAUUACCUAGGAUGGUUCCUACGUCAAUUCACUGCAACUUUGGUGAGUGCGUACCCAUCAUCUUCUUUGCUGACAAUAUAACAAGCUGCCGAUCUCACCAACCUGUCAUUUUACUGUUUUUCUUUGUAAGCUAAUCAGUUCUUGACCUUCCAUCUGUUCUAGACGCAGGCUAUUAUAUAUGCUCUAGGCCUGUAGCUAUUGAUGUCUCAGGACUAUUCCUUGUUAGCUUAGUACAUAAGGCAAAUCUGUUUAUUCUUAAGUACCAAAAAGUACCUUCGAAUAAGGGUGGAUGUCUCGCAGCACUCAGUUAUAUAUUAAGUUGGUU